UGUUCUUAGCGGCGGACGGGUGAGUAACACGUGGGUAACCUGCCUCAAAGUGGGGGAUAGCCUUUCGAAAGGAAGAUUAAUACCGCAUAAGCCUGCAGCACCGCAUGGUGCAGCAGGAAAAGGAGCAAUCCGCUUUGAGAUGGACCCGCGGCGCAUUAGCUAGUUGGUGAGGUAACGGCUCACCAAGGCCACGAUGCGUAGCCGACCUGAGAGGGUGAUCGGCCACAUUGGAACUGAGACACGGUCCAGACUCCUACGGGAGGCAGCAGUGGGGAAUAUUGCACAAUGGGCGAAAGCCUGAUGCAGCAACGCCGCGUGAGUGAUGAAGGCCUUCGGGUCGUAAAGCUCUUUGAUCAGGGAUGAUAAUGACAGUACCUGAAAAACAAGCCACGGCUAACUACGUGCCAGCAGCCGCGGUAAUACGUAGGUGGCGAGCGUUGUCCGGAAUUACUGGGCGUAAAGGAUGCGUAGGUGGAUAUUUAAGUGGGAUGUGAAAUCCCCGGGCUCAACCCGGGAACUGCAUUCCAAACUGGAUGUCUAGAGUGCAGGAGAGGAAAGCGGAAUUCCUAGUGUAGCGGUAAAAUGCGUAGAUAUUAGGAGGAACACCAGUGGCGAAGGCGGCUUUCUGGACUGUAACUGACACUGAGGCAUGAAAGCGUGGGUAGCAAACAGGAUUAGAUACCCUGGUAGUCCACGCCGU
rnacentral:rRNA from 1 species